CAUUCAUUUAUUUCUCAAGUCAGUAAAACAUUUUAUUUUGAAACGGCAGUCUGACUGACGGGUAAACUCAGUGACAAACAUAAACAUAAACACACGAUACUUUUAGUUUGAUUAAUACUCGGCCGAAGUAACAAAGACGUUUUAACAGAAUAUGGCACAUGAUCGUCGGCAUACAGCAACACCGACCGACCGUAAACAGUCUGCAAUAUAUUAAAAUACUGACUAGUGCAUCUGAACACCACAGAAGAAGAAAAGGCACAGUUGUGACUGUCAUUUACAAAAUAAAAGGGUUUUAACAACAGUAUUGCUUUAUAACAGAAAUAAAAUGACAAAAAAUACACAGGUAUUAUCAAAAUAAAAGCCUGAGUGUUCUCCCAGUGAGAAGUUUGGUUUAAAGCCCUCGUUUUAGAUUUAAACAUUUAACUGUUUUAUUUUUAUACCAAAUUGGUAUGUUGUCUCAUGUUACUAUGAAUAAAAACAUAAAAAAUCCAGCAAAGGAAACAAAAUAUAUAAGAGUACUUGUGAUCAUUUACUUAAGUACAAUUUUGAGGUACUUAUACUUUGCUGUCAUCUUGUGGAUGAACCCAACAGAACAGGAAUUCAUUUUCUUUACUUAUCAGCACCCAGUUGUUAGUUGUUAUUAUUUACAGCAGCACAAAUCUGAACCAGUUUGUUCGGAUGAAUAAUGUUGGUGAGUAAUAAAACAUUUCAGAUCCAAUGUGUCUUUGGCUCUCAGUGCAGUUUGGCUUUUUUAUAAUUUACUAUUAUUAAUUGUAAUUAUUCUGUUGGACUUUGAAAGAAAGGAAAAUGACCAAAAUGUGUUCUGUCAAACUAAUAAAGAGAUCUAAUGAACUAUAAUAAAACGUCAAGAAAAAGCAGCUGAGGUCAUUACAUCUUUGGCAUUUUUGCAUUAAAACAACAGAAAAAUAAGUCAUUUGUAUUUUUGGAAAAUACCUGAAGGUUCAACGUUUGGUAUCUGAAAAAUACAGAAAAUGUUCUUUAUUGAACUAAAAGGGUGUUUUUCUUUUAUAGCUGUCGGCUGAUCUGGUGUCAGUUUUAAGUGUAAACUACUAAAACGGACGGAGAGAGAACCAAUGAUCCAAACUAAAUAAACAUGAAUUAUUACAGACAAAAUAUAUAACCAGGAAAUAGUUAUGUGUCAUUGGGAAAAGUGACGAUACAGACUUUAUGAAUAAUACAUUCAGGUGUGUCCUCUCUCCCUCCAGGUGUGUCCUCUCUCUCCAGGUGUGUCCUCUCUCUCUCCAGGUGUGUCCUCCUCUCUCUCUCCAGGUGUGUCCUCUCUCCCUCCAGGUGUGUCCUCUCUCUCUCCAGGUGUGUCCUCUCUCUCUCCAGGUGUGUCCUCUCUCUCUCCAGGUGUGUCCUCUCUCUCUCCAGGUGUGUCCUCUCUCUCUCCAGGUGUGUCCUCUCUCUCCAGGUGUGUCCUCUCUCUCUCCAGGUGUGUCCUCUCUCUCCAGGUGUGUCCUCUCAGCACUGCGUCUCCUUGGUGUCUAUCUGAUGUUGUCUCUGCAGUCUG